ensembl:lncRNA
CGCGCCCGAGCGCCCGCUCUCCCCGCCGCCCGGCUCCCGCGCCCACUCCGCGGCCCGACCUCCCUGGGAGGCUCAGCCGGAUCAUAAGACCGGCCGGCCCGGGGGAGACGGCAACUUCGCGGAGGGCAGCCUCGGGGUUUGGACCCAGGACCUUUGCACUGAGCUACAUCCCCAGCCCUUCUUAUUUUUCAUUUUGACACAAGGUUUCUCUAAGUUGCCCAGAUGGGAUUUGAACUUGUGGUCCUCCUGCUUUAACCUCCCAGAAUGCUGGGAUUAUAGGCUGAGAAGUCCAAGAGCAUGGCACCAGCAACCAGUGAGGCCCUUCAUGCUGGAUCAUUUCAUGAUGGAAGGUGGAAGGGCAAGAGAAGACAAGCUCAUUUUGGUAUCAAGUCCUCCACUUCAGUAGGAAGUCAGACAAAGACUUUUUCUGAGCUUCUUGACCAGCCUUCAGCAUUCAGAAUUUAUAUAUUAACCAAGUCAGCUGUACGAAACUGUGGAUCAUCUCGAAAAGCUUCUUUGAUGAGUUAACUAAUCUAUUAAAUAGUUUCUUUGUUCCAGACAAAAAGAACCAGGAAACCACCUCUAGAAAGAGACCACCUGGUAACAAGUCCACUUGGUAUUUAUUGACAUACAACUUUUUUUUAUCUGAGAAAUUUUUCAGAACUGUGAAUAUGACAUCAAUUAAGAAGUACCCUGAACACUUGUUGAUUUUGGUACAAGAAUGGAAUUUUACUGCGCUUUAUUGUGUGGAUUGCUUUGUGUGGAC